rnacentral:rRNA from 1 species
UACGUAGGGUGCGAGCGUUAAUCGGAAUUACUGGGCGUAAAGCGUGCGCAGGCGGUUUUUGUAAGUCUGACGUGAAAUCCCCCGGGCUUAACCUGGGAAUUGCGUUGGAGACUGCAAGGCUGGAGUCUGGCAGAGGGGGGGUAGAAUUCCACGUGUAGCAGUGAAAUGCGUAGAGAUGUGGAGGAACACCGAUGGCGAAGGCAGCCCCCUGGGUCAAGACUGACGCUCAUGCACGAAAGCGUGGGGAGCAAACAGG